UACGUAGGGUGCAAGCGUUAAUCGGAAUUACUGGGCGUAAAGCGUGCGCAGGCGGUUUUGUAAGUCUGACGUGAAAGCCCCGGGCUUAACCUGGGAAUUGCGUUGGAGACUGCAAGGCUUGAAUCUGGCAGAGGGGGUAGAAUUCCACGUGUAGCAGGUGAAAUGCGUAGAGAUGUGGAGGAACACCGAUGGCGAAGGCAGCCCCCUGGGUCAAGAUUGACGCUCAUGCACGAAAGCGUGGGGAGCAAACAGG
rnacentral:rRNA from 1 species